AGUGAACGCUGGCGGUAGGCCUAACACAUGCAAGUCGAACGGCAGCACAGUAAGAGCUUGCUCUUACGGGUGGCGAGUGGCGGACGGGUGAUGAAUACAUCGGAAUCUACUUUUUCGUGGGUGAUAACGUAGGGAAACUUACGCUAAUACCGCAUACGACCUACGGGUGAAAGCAGGGGAUCUUCGGACCUUGCGCGAUUGAAUGAGCCGAUGUCGGAUUAGCUAGUUGGCGGGGUAAAGGCCCACCAAGGCGACGAUCCGUAGCUGGUCUGAGAGGAUGAUCAGCCACACUGGAACUGAGACACGGUCCAGACUCCUACGGGAGGCAGCAGUGGGGAAUAUUGGACAAUGGGCGCAAGCCUGAUCCAGCCAUACCGCGUGGGUGAAGAAGGCCUUCGGGUUGUAAAGCCCUUUUGUUGGGAAAGAAAAGCAGCAGGUUAAUACCCCGCUGUUCUGACGGUACCAAAAGAAUAAGCACCGGCUAACUUCGUG
rnacentral:rRNA from 1 species